rnacentral:rRNA from 1 species
CCUACGGGAGGCAGCAGUGGGGAAUAUUGCACAAUGGGGGAAACCCUGAUGCAGCGACGCCGCGUGAGUGAAGAAGUAUUUCGGUAUGUAAAGCUCUAUCAGCAGGGAGGAAAAUGACGGUACCUGAUUAAGAAGCCCCGGCUAACUACGUGCCAGCAGCCGCGGUAAUACGUAGGGGGCAAGCGUUAUCCGGAUUUACUGGGUGUAACGGGAGCGUAGACGGCAGCACAAGUCUGGUGUGAAAUGCCGGGGCUUAACCCCGGAACUGCUUUGGAAACUGGGCAGCUAGAGUGCAGGAGAGGGAAGUGGAAUUCCUGGUGUAGCGGUGAAAUGCGUAGAGAUUAGGAGGAACACCAGUGGCGAAGGCGGCCUACUGGACGGUAACUGACGUUGAGGCUCGAAAGCGUGGGGAGCAAACAGGAUUAGAUACCCGGGUAGUC